rnacentral:rRNA from 1 species
AUUGAACGCUGGCGGCAGGCCUAACACAUGCAAGUCGAGCGGAUGAAGGGAGCUUGCUCCUGGAUUCAGCGGCGGACGGGUGAGUAAUGCCUAUGAAUCUGCCUGGUAGUGGGGGAUAACGUCCGGAAACGGGCGCUAAUACCGCAUACGUCCUGAGUGAGAAAGUGGGGGAUCUUCGGACCUCACGCUAUCAGAUGAGCCUAGGUCGGAUUAGCUAGUUGGUGGGGUAAAGGCCUACCAAGGCGACGAUCCGUAACUGGUCUGAGAGGAUGAUCAGUCACACUGGAACUGAGACACGGUCCAGACUCCUACGGGAGGCAGCAGUGGGGAAUAUUGGACAAUGGGCGAAAGCCUGAUCCAGCCAUGCCGCGUGUGUGAAGAAGGUCUUCGGAUUGUAAAGCACUUUAAGUUGGGAGGAAGGGCAGUAAGUUAAUACCUUGCUGUUUUGACGUUACCAACAGAAUAAGCACCGGCUAACUUCGUG